GAUGAACGCUGGCGGCGUGCUUAACACAUGCAAGUCGAACGAAGCAGAUUGAGAUCUUCGGAAGGAUAUCUGACUGAGUGGCGGACGGGUGAGUAACGCGUGGGUAACCUACCUCAUACAGGGGGAUAACAGUUAGAAAUGACUGCUAAUACCGCAUAAGCGCACAGUACCGCAUGGUACGGUGUGAAAAACUCCGGUGGUAUGAGAUGGACCCGCGUCUGAUUAGCUAGUUGGUGGGGUAACGGCCUACCAAGACGACGAUCAGUAGCCGACCUGAGAGGGUGACCGGCCACAUUGGGACUGAGACACGGCCCAAACUCCUACGGGAGGCAGCAGUGGGGAAUAUUGCACAACGGGCGAAAGCCUGAUGCAGCGACGCCGCGUGAGUGAAGAAGUAUUUCGGUAUGUAAAGCUCUAUCAGCAGGGAAGAAAGUGACGGUACCUGACUAAGAAGCACCGGCUAAGUACGUGCCAGCCGCCGCGGUAAUAC
rnacentral:rRNA from 1 species